rnacentral:rRNA from 1 species
CCUACGGGUGGCAGCAGUGGGGAAUAUUGGACAAUGGGGGGAAGACUGAUGCAGCAAAGCCGCGUGAGUGAAGAAGGAUCUCGGUAUGUAAAGCUCUAUUAGCAGGGAAGAAGAUGACGGUACCUGAGUAAGAAGCACCGUCUAACUACGUGCCAGCAGCCGCGGUAAUACGUAGGGGGCAAGCGUUAUCCGGAUUUACUGGGUGUAAAGGGAGCGUAGACGGCGAGGCAAGUGUGGAGUGAAAGCCCGGGGCUCAACCCCGGGACUGCUUUGGAAACUGGCUGGCUGGAGUGCUGGAGAGGCAAGCGGAAUUCCUGGUGUAGCGGUGAAAUGCGUAGAUAUUAGGAAGAACACCGGUGGCGAAGGCAGCUUGCUGGACAGUAACUGACGUUGAGGCUCGAAAGCGUGGGGAGCAAACAGGAUUAGAUACCCGGGUAGUC